CACGGCAGUGAUCUGCUUGCUCUCAACUAGCAUAAUGAAGGUACUGAGUAUUUUAGCCCAAAUUCUUUUCUACAAAUAUUGUGCAAAAAAAAAGGAAAAGGGCACUAAGGCUGUGAACUGUGAUAGCUUAGAGCUUCGUGGAUUUUGGGCAGGCAUCUUUUGACAGAAAAUGAGGAUCUUUUCUAUUCCCAGACUGCAGAUUUAAUCGGAAUCGGUGCCUCCCACCUACUCAGUGUACCUAACUAUACCUCGAGCUGGAUUCGGCGAUCUGAUCCCUGAAUUGAAAUACCGAAUCUAUCGAACUUAUUAAUGGAAACAUGGGUUUGGCUGGUCCAGCGAAACAGAGGGUCGAGGGAUCUAACUCGAGUUUGUUCUGAAUAACUAUGGAGCGGCUGAAGGUAUUUUGUGAUCCAACUGAAAGGCACAGGAUUUGGCCAGAUUUCAUCACAAGUCUCAUAUCUUUACUGGAAAAUCUGUUUCCUUCGGAAUUACUACGACAUGGACUGACCGUACUGACCUCAUGUGCGAAGUUCAGAAAUGACCAUCAGUACAUGGGUUCAAUUUGCAAGGUCCUUUUCCUUACAGGAAGACAACUACAGAAACAUGUGUCUAGGCUGCCUUCCAAUCAAGGAGGAAGCACAAGGACGCGAGAGGCCAGCAGCUGGUCUUGCUCAAGAGGAGAUUGGCCCCGGGGAGAUCGGGCUGCCAUGUGAUCUCUUGUGGAUCUGCCGGAGCUUUACAGAGAGUUCGGGGGCCCGGACAGACGGAAGCUAGCGGCUGCUGCUCUGUGGCCGCCAUUUUUGAACACGCAGUUCCAUUGAUGAGUGGUGAUGCGAGGGGUCCUUCAAGAAAGCACAUCUCUGUUUCAGCUGAAAUUCAUGUUGGCAUGCUGCGGGUGACUAGAGGAGGGUGGGAGUUUGUCGGUGGAAGGAGUCCGCUGCUAUUAUGACUUUAUGAGCCCAUUUUGGUAGCUGACUAGCUGAGCAUUUAAACGGGGCAUGUAGUGCAAGUCGUCGUAGAACGAACUCCGAUAUAUAGGAUCUUGUUUGGUUGGCCAAAGUUUGGAGGUGCAAAAUUACUGUUGUAGCACUGUAGCACACUAGCGUUUCGUUUGUAUUUGUAAAUUAUUGUCCAAAU